UUUUUUUUUUUUUUUUUUUUUACUAGAACUGAUCAUAGGCCACAUUUUCCCCCAUCUGACCCUUGAACAAUUAACUUUUUGAAUUGAAGAAGCAAGGCUUCAAUUUAGGUAAAACUUCAAUUUAGGUAAAACCCUUAAAGUUUUACCAUACCUGGAACCCUGUAAUCUGCUAAGUCUCUUAUAACUCCACCCUAUAACGUGGGCUUACCUGCAAAUGUGAUCAUGCAUAAUUUCUAUGACUUAAUUCAGAUGGACAAAAAUGCUACGGUGGUCAGGACAGAAUGCAGGCCUGUGAGCCUCACCACUAAAGACCCACUCCCCAACUUUACGAUGCUUUACCAAUUAUGAAGCACUUUCGCAAUCAUUUCACUUGAAUUCUUACAAGUACCCUGUAAAUCAGAUACUAUUGUCAUUCUAUAUGUGAGGACACGAAUUCAGAAAGACUAUCUGACUUGCCUAAUGUGACACAGCUAAUAAAUGACAAAAUAGGAAAAAGCCUUAGGGCUUCUGUUUCCAGUGCCUUUUCAAAAACAGAUUUUUCAUUUUUUCCCCCACCAUCCUACCUUGUUAGAAGUGAAAACCCUUCUCUCUGUAGCGUUCCAGCUGUUGUCUCUAAAUCUCAGGUCGAAUUUGUAGGUUUUCAGGAUGGUUUGAAAGUAAUCUAGGUAAGUUGGUGGGGACAGGUGAGUUGAGGACCCCUACUCCUCUGCCAUCUUGCCCUGCCCCCCCAAUUUUUCAUAUUUUUUUAAAGAUUUUAUUUAUUUAUUCAUGAGAGACACACAGAGAGAGGCAGAGACACAAGCUGAGGGAGAAGCAGGCUCCCCAUGAGGAGCCUGUUGUGGGACUCGAUCCCAGGACCCUGGGAUUACGACCUGAGCCAAAGGCAGAUGCCGCUCAACCACAGAGCCAUUCAGAUGUCCCCAAAACAGAUUUUUAAAUACAAUGACUAGCGUAAUAUCUUUUUCCCUUUUCUCCCCUGCCAUGGAUAUCAACAAAGACUAAUUAAAAUCAAAGAAAUUUUUCUACAAACAAAAUCUCACUUAAAACCCACUCUAUAAAACAGAUUAAAAGCUGGCUGUUCUAAUAGAAAUGAGGUGCAAGACUCUCAGCCUCCAUCUCUGUCCCACUUGAGGCCUCCCCUCAACCCUACUGUAGAUGGUAACUGGCACCUCAUAGUCUUCCACGUACAUUCAGAAGUCACUAGCCAAUGGCAUGUUUUCAAACUGUACCCUUCUCUGAAAACAAUUUUAAAAAUAUGACUAACUUGUCAUACCUUGUUUUCAUAAUAUAUUCUAGAAUUUUGUGGGAGAUAUCCAUUUAAGAGUUUUAAUAAUCUUUUACAUGGAACAGAUUUGUUUUAAAGUUUGAAGGCAACUUUGGGUUAAUUCAAAUCUUUAUUUCACAGAUGAAGAAACAGCAACCCAGAGAAGAGAAGUAACCCACCACAGGAUCAUUCCACGGAGGCACAAGGAUAAGAACCCAGAUCUGGACUCUCCUUGGCAGGACAGACUUAUUGCAGCUUGAAGGAGCCAACCAUGGAUUUCAAGCGUGUGAAGGACUAUUUCUCCUGGCUCUACUAUCAAUACCAAAUCAUCAGCUGCUGUGCCGUGUUGGAGCCCUGGGAACAAUCCAUGUUCAAUACCAUCUUACUAACUAUUUUCGCUAUGGUGGUAUACACCGCCUAUGUUUUUAUCCCAAUCCACAUUCGUCUGGCUUGGGAAUUUUUCUCCAAAAUAUGUGGCUAUCACAGUACAAUUUCUAAUUGAUCUUGUUUGCAUUCUGUGACUCGGCAUUGCCUAUGUAUAUGUUGCUUAUGACUUACAAUUUACGUGAAUACUGAUCUGAAAAGCUCUCUUCUCUAUGCACUCUUAUAUCUUGCCUGAAACGUGGGAUAGAGGUCUCUUUAGGUUCUUUUAUACAUGCUACAUUGUGCAUCAGUCCAUACAUACAAACACUUUACCUCACAUACCAACCAUAUUCUCUCAACUUAGACUUUAGAUUUUGUUUUUAAUCAAGAAACUUCAUAUAAAAUUUUUCUGAAAGGUAGGCUUAUAAGAGACCUACCAGAAUCAUAUUUAAAAUGUUCCCUUGAUACCUAUUCUGUACUAAAGGGUAUAUUUUUUAAAAGAAAUUGUUCAUAAGCUCCUGUCAAAAGUAUCCUAUCCUUGUUUACAACAUAUAAAAAGAUGUGAAUAAAUUAUAUGGGCCCCCUAAAGUCUUAUUUUCUAGUAAACUGCUGAUACCUAAAAUUCUUUUACUUCAAGUGCAAAAGAAUAGGCUGGAGGCAAUUAUCUCUUUUCAGACAUGGUUCAUGAAUUAUUUCAAAUGCCUCUAAAAGUCUGGCUUUAUAACAGUUUAAAAUCAACAAUGUUGAUUUUAGAUAACCCAGUAAGUAUUAUAAUACAAAAAAUAUUAAGUGUAAGGAACAAAAAAUAUAAUCAAAGUAAAUUCAGAUAUUGUGACUUGCAAUGCUGCCUUGCCUUGCAUGAUGCUGGGGGGUGGAGGGAAGAGAAAAGAAAUUGCUUUCUUUCUGUGGUUUCACUCAGUGGAGCUGGGGUGGGGGUGGGGGAGCACGUAUUAGGCUACAGGAAGAAAAGCUAAUAAAUAGGCUGGAAGUAAUACUCUACCAGCAGGAACUCGACAGCUCCAGUUAAACGCUUUGAUAUAGUGGCUCCUUUGCAGAGCAAAAACAAGAUUUAUUAAAUUUCCUUCAAAGUGUUUAUCUUAAAACAAAUACAAGUUUUUAAUUGUACUGCUGAAUCAAAUGUGAAUGCCAAAGACCAAACCUUACAGUUUGUCUUCCCUUUCAAUAAAUAUUAAGGUUCAUAAUUCUAGAAGGUAAAAUGUAAAUAGUUUUUGGAUAAUAUUUGCACCCAUGUUUGUGUUAUGGGGAAAAAAUUUCCAAGGAAAGCUAGAGAGAAAGAUGUUUGGC
rnacentral:lncRNA from 1 species